AACAGGAUUAGAUACCCUGGUAGUCCAUGCCGUAAACGAUGAGUGCUAGGUGUUGGAGGGUUUCCGCCCUUCAGUGCCGCAGCUAACGCAUUAAGCACUCCGCCUGGGGAGUACGACCGCAAGGUUGAAACUCAAAGGAAUUGACGGGGGCCCGCACAAGCGGUGGAGCAUGUGGUUUAAUUCGAAGCUACGCGAAGAACCUUACCAGGUCUUGACAUCUUGCGCUAACCUAAGAGAUUAGGCGUUCCCUUCGGGGACGCAAUGACAGGUGGUGCAUGGUCGUCGUCAGCUCGUGUCGUGAGAUGUUGGGUUAAGUCCCGCAACGAGCGCAACCCUUGUUACUAGUUGCCAGCAUUCAGUUGGGCACUCUAGUGAGACUGCCGGUGACAAACCGGAGGAAGGUGGGGAUGACGUCAGAUCAUCAUGCCCCUUAUGACCUGGGCUACACACGUGCUACAAUGGUCGGUACAACGAGUCGCUAACCCGCGAGGGCAAGCUAAUCUCUUAAAGCCGAUCUCAGUUCGGACUGUAGGCUGCAACUCGCCUACACGAAGUCGGAAUCGCUAGUAAUCGCGGAUCAGCAUGCCGCGGUGAAUACGUUCCCGGGCCUUGUACACACCGCCCGUCACGCCAUGAGAGUUUGUAACACCCAAAGCCGGUGGGGUAACCUUUUAGGAGCCAGCCGUCUAAGGUGGGACAGAUGAUUAGGGUGAAGUCGUAACAAGGUAACC
rnacentral:rRNA from 1 species